rnacentral:misc_RNA from 1 species
GAUGAAGAACGUAGCGAAAUGCGAUACGUAGUGUGAAUUGCAGAAUUCAGUGAAUCAUCGAAUCUUUGAACGCACAUUGCACCUCUCGGUAUUCCGGGAGGUAUGCCUGUUCGAGCGUCAUUUGUACCCUCAAGCUCUGCUUGGUGUUGGGUGUUUGUUCCGCCUCUGUGUGUGAACUCGCCUCAAAACAAUUGGCAGCCGGCGUACUUGUUUCGGAGCGCAGCACAUUUUGCGAUCCAGAUCAACGUACAGCGGCAUCCAAGAAGCCUUAUUUAACGCUCUUGACCUCGGAUCAGGUUGGGAUACCCGCUGAACUUAAGCAUAUCAAUAAGCGGAGGA